rnacentral:rRNA from 1 species
GAUGAACGCUGGCGGCAUGCCUUACACAUGCAAGUCGAACGGUAACAGGUCUUCGGACGCUGACGAGUGGCGAACGGGUGAGUAAUACAUCGGAACGUGCCCAGUCGUGGGGGAUAACUACUCGAAAGAGUAGCUAAUACCGCAUACAAUCUGAGGAUGAAAGCGGGGGACCUUCGGGCCUCGCGCGAUUGGAGCGGCCGAUGGCAGAUUAGGUAGUUGGUGGGAUAACGGCCCACCAAGGCGACGAUCAGUAGCCGGCCUGAGAGGGUGAACGGCCACAUUGGGACUGAGACACGGCCCAA